CCUACGGGAGGCAGCAGUGGGGAAUAUUGCACAAUGGGGGGAACCCUGAUGCAGCGACGCCGCGUGAGCGAGGAAGUAUUUCGGUAUGUAAAGCUCUGUCAGCAGGGACGAAAAAAGACUGUACCUGACUAAGGAGCCCCGGCUAACUACGUGCCAGCAGCCGCGGUAAUACGGAGGGGGCAAGCGUUAUCCGGAAUUACUGGGUGUACAGGGAGCGUAGACGGUAAGGCAAGCCAGGAGUGAAAGGGCAGGGCUCAACCUUGUACAUGCUUUUGGAACUGUGGUGCUAGAGUGCAGGAGAGGUAAGUGGAAUUCCAAGUGUAGCGGUGAAAUGCGUAGAUAUUAGGAGGAACAGCAGUGGCGAAGGCGGCUUACUGGACUGUAACUGACGUUGAGGCGCGAAAGCGUGGGGAGCAAACAGGAUUAGAUACCCGAGUAGUC
rnacentral:rRNA from 1 species